GUUAACUAAUCAAGUACAACACAAAGGGAGAUCAACCACUUUUACAGCUGAUCUUUUGAACUACUGCUGGAACCUUCUUCCAUCAAUAUGAAGAACUGAACUUCCUUGCGUAGUAGACUGUGGUGUUUGGUUGCUGAUAAGUUCUAGUACAGUGAAAUCCCCAAGUUUUGUUGUCCUACACAGUUCUUUAGUGCUUAUGUGCUCUCAAAUACCCUGGCAGUCCUGGCUGAUUGUAAGGAGUCUGCCAAUAAACUAAUUUCUGCUUCAGAGUUAUGCUGAUAGUACAUCAUGAAAUGCUGGCAUGCCCCCAAGUUCAGGUUUAUAUUCUCUGAGUCAGCCUACCUGGUAAGUGUACCUGCUACCCACCAGUUCCGGGAGGCUGGUUCUGGAAUUGCUUACAGUCAGAUGGAGGGGAAAUAUCUCUGAGGAAACCAUAGCAGUUGAACACAAUCACAAAUGGAAUAGGAGACCUUGCUGCAGCAUUGCUAUGAGACAAAGGAGACUUCCUCUUGCAAAUGGAAGACAAAGCUGCAGUCCUUCUACAGCCCUGGUAUGGGAUAUCAACACCAGCCUGUGCUUCUCACAUGAGGAAGGCAUGGGUUGACUAAUCACUUCAAAAGCUUAAUGCAGAAGAACCUUUCUGGGACUUCUAGAGGAGGAACUGGACCUGGUUAUUAAUCCCCAGAGACCAACUGUAUCAAAAACAUGGAGUGCUUGCAGUUCUGCAGUGGAAACAGGAUUCAUGUUUCUGGUAAGCUGUCCCUCAAGACACUGCCAACGAUCAACAAGCUGGAAAGAAGACUGAAAAAGGCAGUAGUAGCCUAAAAGUGGAUGUUUCCUGAGGAUGAGAAGCUGAAAGAUAGGGUUGCCUAGGAAGGCUUUAACUCUAUUUCCAGGCAUGCAGUGGCCUGGAAACUCUCAAGAAGGGACUUGCUGUGAUGUGGGGUCUUUAAACAGGGAGAGGUGAAGUCUGUUAUAUAGGCAAGUACUGCAAACAAAUAUACUUGGUGUAAUACAGAGCUUGGUGUACAUUUGUACCUUCAUCUGUGUGAGCAUAGGAGGCUCAGCUUCAAGGAUCAAAGCUAGAGUCAAGCCUUGAAGCUGACUUGCUGGUAAUCCUUAAUCAAUUUCUGGUGGGUAUCAGGAGGAAAUGCUGCUCACAGUAACUGAGCUGUUGUGUGAUAGCUGAGAGCUAGAAAGUUUCGUCUGUCCUACUGCUUGAUUCCUGUUGCUCGGUGGAAGUAAGCAUUAUGCUUUGAGGAGAAUAAAAGUUUUCACAAAGUAGAGUUGACUCUCAUUCCUAGCCAGCAAAACAUCCCCUACUUCUGUAAGUCAUUCUUGGAAUAACAAUAAAAUGUUGUAUAUAA